rnacentral:lncRNA from 1 species
GUUAUUAAAUCAGUUUGGCCACAGGAAUGAUAUUCUGAACACUCUUAGAUCCAGUACCUAAUAUGGUCCCUUUCAAUGUUAUGCCACUAUUGCAAAACACAGUUCCUCGUUAACUAUGGAAUGCUGGAAAUGGCCUUUUGACAAGUCACCGUGGACAGUCCAAGACACAUGUUUGAGAGGAAAAUGUAUUCUCUCUGAUCAGCCAGUCACCAUCAUCAUUUGGGUAUCAGCGGUGACCAGAAGGGCCUCAAGAGCCCUAGCAAGGCCAUCAAGUACAUCGAUUUGUAGGAAGCGUGUGGCUUGGAAGCAGCUUUGACUAAGCCUUUCCCAAAGCUCUCUGUCUAACUUCACUUGCCCUAUCACUGUCUUUUCAAUUGCUCUGAAGAACAAGCUAACUCCACAAUUGACGCAUUAGGAAAGUUGCUGCCAAAGAGCAGAAGGUAAGGGUGAGAUCAAACUGACUUCCAGAUCUGUGAACCCACACAUCAAAACCACACCAGACAAAAAGAGGAAAAAACUGACCAAGCAAGGAGUUCUUGGGACAGCCUUCCACAAGAUGGUUCCUUUGAGCUUUUGUUGGCAGCCCAAGUCCAGCCCUCUCGGGUCACCACAGAUACCACCCAGAACUAGUAUCACAUCAUGGAAAAGUGGGACCUAUUUGAAUAAUACUAAACCAUUCAGACUCCAGAGAGAGCCCUGAAGAUCUGGGUGCGUCCUCCAGAGCCCUAGCCAAGUCAGACACAGAGCAUUCCUCUUUCUUCUGUGAAGUUCACAUUCAGCAAGGCACGACCUUAAAUGAAAAAUCAACUAUGUGGGGCAGAACAAACUCCGAGAGCAUGGUGAAGACUUAGCAAGCAGCACUGACUGGAGAACGACUUAGCAGAAAGAAUGCAGAGCUAGAGCGGAUCAUGGCAACUAUGCAAUAAACAACUUGAAGAAUCAUUCCGUCAAGUGUGGGAACCAGAGUGGAAAGAUUGUCUUCAGCCUGCAGCCAACACCAGUCACCACCUAUCAGAGAAAUGCAUCCUGUGAGUACCACAUUCCAGCGUCUCUGGAAGACCUCCAUUUCCUCCCCAGGCUGGGAGAGGCUCAGGCAGUGUGUGCCCCACCCCAACCCAGCCAAGCCAUCUGCAAGAAGCAAUAAUCUCCAUCCCUCUGCUAGUUGGACUGUAGUUCUCAUAGGACUGGCCACAGCUGACAUUCCAGAAGCUGAGGGAAGAAAGAGCCUUAGAAGAUAAGUAAACACGUAAGACCUCGAUUCUCUGCAGGAAGAGGUCAUUACACCUCGGUGUGUUUUCUGUCAGGCAUUCAUGCAGUUGUUGCAUGUCCAAGGGCUGCUGGGAACACUUCAAAAACCCAGAGAAUCAAGCGCUACAAGGUAACAGUUGCUGUUAAUAAGGGGUACCAUAGCACUUUGUGCUCACCCUGCAGGAGCUGUGGAGCGUCACCACUCACUCACACCCCAGGGGAGGAACUUGGGACCGAGAAAAAUCUAGGAAUCACUGGGCAGCAAAAUAAAAAUGUCACCACACUGUAUAGAUGGCCUAUAAAAAGGAGCAGAGUGCGGAAGGAAGGAUGCAGGAGGCUGGCUUGACUGAUCGCUGGCAGAGGCUUUCCUAGCUGCAGCCUGCUGUUACCACCCACGGAUGUUCCUCCCGGGACAUCGCUGAGACAUAAGACACGUACAGAGCCCUUGUUAAUAAACAGACUUGGCACUACAGCACGGCUCUGCUAAGCCUUGUGCCUAUUUGCGUGGUGAUUUACUAAAUAUGAAAAUAAAGCUGUUCCUUAAAGAACCCCCAACUUUUCCAUUCCAAUGCAUUUUUAUCUAAAUCUAGA